GAUGAAGAACGUAGCGAAAUGCGAUAAGUAGUGUGAAUUGCAGAAUUCAGUGAAUCAUCGAAUCUUUGAACGCACAUUGCGCCCCUUGGUAUUCCAUGGGGCAUGCCUGUUCGAGCGUCAUUUGUACCUUCAAGCUCUGCUUGGUGUUGGGUGAUUGUCUAUCUUUAUAGACUCGCCUUAAAGUCAUUGGCAGCCGGCAUAUUGGCCUGGGAGCGCAGCACAAGUCGCGCUUCUUGUCAUGAAUGUUGGCGUCCAGUAAGUCUACAUAUUUUGCUCUUGACCUCGGAUCAGGUAGGGAUACCCGCUGAACUUAAGCAUAUCAAUAAGCGGAGA
rnacentral:misc_RNA from 1 species